UGUGGCUCAGGGGUGGAGAUACUGCCUCUCAAGCAGGAGACCCUGGGUUCAACCCCCAGCA
rfam:Ictidomys tridecemlineatus contig116604, whole genome shotgun sequence.